UACAGAGGGGGCAAGCGUUGUUCGGAAUUACUGGGCGUAAAGGGCGCGUAGGCGGCCCGCUAAGUCGAACGUGAAAUCCCCGGGCUCAACCCGGGAACUGCGUCCGAUACUGGUGGGCUUGAAUCCGGGAGAGGGAUGCGGAAUUCCAGGUGUAGCGGUGAAAUUCGUAGAUAUCGAGAGGAACACCGGUGGCGAAGGCGGCCAACUGGACGAAUACUGACGCUGAGACUCGAAAGCGUGGGGAGCAAACAGG
rnacentral:rRNA from 1 species